rnacentral:tRNA from 1 species
CGCGGAGUAGAGCAGCGGCAGCUCGUGUGGCUCAUAACCACAAGGUCGCAGGUUCGAGUCCUGCCUCCGCAACCA